rnacentral:SRP_RNA from 1 species
GCCAGGUGUGGUGGCGGGUGCCUGUAAUCCCAGCUACUUGGGAGGCUGAGGCAGGAGAAUCGCUUGAACGCAGGAGGCAUAGGUUGCAGUGAGCUGAGAUCACACCACUGCACUCUAGCCUGGGUGACAGAGCCAGACUCUGUCUCAA